UUGAUCAAGUGCACAACAGCUAGAGAUGGUAGGCCUACAUGGGAUCAGACACAGCAGCUUUCCAGUGUCAGUAAUACUUUCUUUUUCUCGUAGGCUGUAAUAACAUUCAUGAAAAUGUGGUUAAAAGGCACGGAGAAGUCAUGGAAAAUGUAUAUGAACCCUUAACAGUGACUAAUCAGAGGCUACUUACAAAACCUGGUGGAUUUAUUGUUCCACAGUGUUGUGGGAACCCUCUUACCACAUCAGGAGCAGAAGGCUGGGGCAGUACAUGGCCAGGCACCAGUCCCACUUCAGAUGGAGGACAGGAGAGAUGGUUUGUCAUGGAGUCCCCUGACUAAAAGACAGGUUGAUACAGAUGUCUGAACUGGGAAAGACCUUGCACUCAGCAUUAAAACUAUACAAGACACAUCUGUCA